rnacentral:rRNA from 1 species
AUUGAGCGCUGGCGGCAUGCCUUACACAUGCAAGUCGAACGGCAGCACGGGUGCUUGCACCUGGUGGCGAGUGGCGAACGGGUGAGUAAUAUAUCGGAACGUACCUUAUCGUGGGGGAUAACGCAGCGAAAGCUGUGCUAAUACCGCAUAAGCCCCAAGGGGGAAAGCAGGGGACCGUAAGGCCUUACGCGAUUAGAGCGGCCGAUACCUGAUUAGCUAGUUGGUGAGGUAAAGGCUCACCAAGGCAACGAUCAGUAGCUGGUCUGAGAGGACGAUCAGCCACACUGGGACUGAGACACGGCCCAGACUCCUACGGGAGGCAGCAGUGGGGAAUUUUGGACAAUGGGGGCAACCCUGAUCCAGCAAUGCCGCGUGAGUGAAGAAGGCCUUCGGGUUGUAAAGCUCUUUUGUCAGGGAAGAAACAGCAGCUCUAAUACAGUAUGCGAAUGACGGUACCUGAAGAAUAAGCACCGGCCAACUACGUGCCAGCCGCCGCGGUAA